rnacentral:hammerhead_ribozyme from 1 species
AUGCAGCUGACAAGUUCAAAAUAGGACGAAACGCGUGUUGUGGAU